AGCAGUAGCCGCGGGAAUACGUAGGUCCCGAGCGUUGUCCGGAUUUAUUGGGCGUAAAGCGAGCGCAGGCGGUUAGAUAAGUCUGAAGUUAAAGGCUGUGGCUUAACCAUAGUACGCUUUGGAAACUGUUUAACUUGAGUGCAAGAGGGGAGAGUGGAAUUCCAUGUGUAGCGGUGAAAUGCGUAGAUAUAUGGAGGAACACCGGUGGCGAAAGCGGCUCUCUGGCUUGUAACUGACGCUGAGGCUCGAAAGCGUGGGGAGCGAACAGGAUUAGAUACCCCUGUAGUCCCUGUCUCUUAUACA
rnacentral:rRNA from 1 species